rnacentral:rRNA from 1 species
CAGUCGCCGCGGUAAUACAGAGGGUGCGAGCGUUAAUCGGAUUUACUGGGCGUAAAGCGUGCGUAGGCGGCUAAUUGAGUCGGAUGUGAAAUCCACGAGCUUAACUUGGGAAUUGCAUUCGAUACUGGUUAGCUAGAGUGUGGGAGAGGAUGGUAGAAUUCCAGGUGUAGCGGUGAAAUGCGUAGAGAUCUGGAGGAAUACCGAUGGCGAAGGCAGCCAUCUGGCCUAACACUGACGCUGAGGUACGAAAGCAUGGGGAGCAAACAGGAUUAGAUACCCGAGUAGUCCCUGUCUCUUAUAC